AGUCACAACGGUAGUAUGUAUAAAUACUAAACAAUUGUAGGUAAAUAGCGUCAAGUAGGCCUACGCCCAUCUCAUAUACUGUUCACAUACUGUAGCUAUGCAGUAGCAAAUCAACCCCAAAAAGCUUGGCAUUUUAUGCAGCAUAGACGGAGCAUAACCACGAAAGUCGAUGGCGUCAUCGAGCUAAGAGUUGUGGAGGUCGCUAAAAUGCUGCUCUACUAAGUAUGCUCCGACGCCCAAGACGACUGGAUGUUUGUGGGGUAGGUAUGACUCAUCGCUCGAAUAUUAAAUCUCAACGAGCGUAAUGUAUUUUCCGCAGUCUCUUGGCGAGUCGACAAAUGCGCCAUUAUGACCACUUUUACGUGCUGAUAGUAGUGGCACAUGCAUACUCGCAAGUCUACAUAAUAUGUAGUCCUUGCUCGGAUUUACUGUCUGCGUGCAUAUCGUAGUUGUCAGCGCCGGUCUCCAGUCAUACUGGCGGCGGCACGCGACUCUUUGCACAGAUGCCGACACGUGCAGCUGGUGAUAAAAACCAUUACAUAUGAGUACAUAUCUUAAAAGGGGUGAGGAUGCAGAUACAUAUUCAAGGGAUGGAGUUGCCCAAAGGCAGCGAGGUGGUGCGUUGCAGUUUUGGCAGCUUGUGGCCGCAAGCCAACACAACCAAAGACAAUCAACCCUUGGCAUCGAUUUUGUGUUUCAUAAAACCACAACAAUUCUUCAUAAAUAGAUUGAAGUGUUAAUCUAGCCAAAUUGGCAUUGAAGUACUAAAUUAAUGCACCGUCGGU